CUGUGGCAGAUGGUGGCCCGUACGGGGAGCCCCGGGACACUCGGGGGUAAGUGACGAAAAAAAAAGCUGCUCGUCCAUAGAUAGGACGGGAACAAAUCUGCUCAUCCCUAGGCAGAUAGGGCGAGAGGAAAAAUGGUCAUUUCAAAAAAAUGGAAAAGAUUGACACAGUAUGUUUGUGUCUUGUUUUGUCUCAGUGUAUUGUAUUGUUUUUGUGCUGAAAAUAUGGAAGGGGUGAAAAGUAAAUUACUAAGGGAAGGAAGCACCCCAGUGGAACCAAGAAUAGUUAGGGCAUGUGUUGAUAAGAGCCCAAGAACUCUAGUCAGAAAGAAAAAGAAAGUUCAGAAGAAGAAGGAUUAUCAGGAAAAAAGUUGCAGCAAAAGGCUAUUACUAAAUACUUUUCAUUACCGGAGGGUGCGUGAAGCAGAGA
rnacentral:lncRNA from 1 species